rnacentral:tRNA from 1 species
UCCCUGGUGGUCCAGUGGUUUAGACUCUGUACUUCUCAUGCAGGGGCUGAGGGUUCGAUUCCUAUUUGGGGAA